rnacentral:rRNA from 1 species
UACGUAGGUGGCAAGCGAUACUCGGAAUCACUAGGCGUAAAGCGCAGGUAGGCGGUUUGGUAAGUCUUUUGUGAAAGCUCCCGGCUUAACUGGGAGAGGUCAAGGGAAACUACUAGACUAGAGUGUGGUAGGGGAUACUGGAAUUCCUGGUGUAGCGGUGAAAUGCGUAGAUAUCAGGAGGAAUACCUAUGGCGAAAGCAGGUAUCUGGGCCAUCACUGACGCUGAGCUGCGAAAGCUAGGGGAGCAAACAGGAUUAGAUACCCUGGUAGUCCUAGCCCUAAACGAUGCUCAUUAGAUGUGGGAGGUAUCGACCCCUUCCGCGUCGCAGCUAACGCAUUAAAUGAGCCGCCUGGGGAGUACGGCCGCAAGGUUGAA